GACGAACGCUGGCGGCGUGCUUAACACAUGCAAGUCGAACGGAAAGGCCCUGCUUUUGUGGGGUGCUCGAGUGGCGAACGGGUGAGUAACACGUGAGUAACCUGCCCUUGACUUUGGGAUAACUUCAGGAAACUGGGGCUAAUACCGGAUAGGAGCUCCUGCUGCAUGGUGGGGGUUGGAAAGUUUCGGCGGUUGGGGAUGGACUCGCGGCUUAUCAGCUUGUUGGUGGGGUAGUGGCUUACCAAGGCUUUGACGGGUAGCCGGCAUGAGAGGGUGACCGGCCACAUUGGGACUAAGAUACGGACCAGACUCCUACGGGAGGCAGCAGUGGGGAAUAUUGCACAAUGGGCGGAAGCCUGAUGCAGCAACGCCGCGUGCGGGAUGACGGCCUUCGGGUUGUAAACCGCUUUCGCCUGUGACGAAGCGUGAGUGACGGUAAUGGGUAAAGAAGCACCGGCUAACUACGUG
rnacentral:rRNA from 1 species